GAUGAACGCUAGCGGCAGGCUUAAUACAUGCAAGUCGAGGGGCAGCAGUUUUGUAGCAAUACAGAAGCUGGCGACCGGCAAACGGGUGCGGAACACGUACGCAACCUUCCUUUAACUGGAAGAUAGCCCACCGAAAGGUGGAUUAAUACUCCAUAACAUAUUGAAGAGGCAUCUUUUUGAUAUUAAAGCUCCGGCGGUUAAAGAUGGGCGUGCGUCUGAUUAGGUAGUUGGCGGGGUAACGGCCCACCAAGCCUUCGAUCAGUAGCUGAUGUGAGAGCAUGAUCAGCCACACGGGCACUGAGACACGGGCCCGACUCCUACGGGAGGCAGCAGUAAGGAAUAUUGGUCAAUGGACGCAAGUCUGAACCAGCCAUGCCGCGUGGAGGAUGAAGGCCCUCUGGGUUGUAAACUUCUUUUCUUUGGGACGAAACCCCUGUUUCUACGGGGACUGACGGUACCAGAGGAAUAAGCACCGGCUAACUCCGUGCCAGCCGCCGCAGUAAUAC
rnacentral:rRNA from 1 species